rnacentral:rRNA from 1 species
GACGAACGCUGGCGGUGUGCUUAGCACAUGCGAGUCGAACGGUAAGGCCCUUUCGGGGGUACACGGGUGGCGAACGGGUGAGUAACACGUGAGUAACCUGCCCUCAUCUCUGGGAUAACAGUCGGAAACGGUUGCUAAUACUGGAUAUGAGCUUGCAAGGCAUCUUGUGGGUUGGAAAGAUUUUUUUUGGUUGGGGAUGGACUCGCGGCCUAUCAGCUUGUUGGUGAGGUAGUGGCUCACCAAGGCUUCGACGGGUAGCCGGCCUGAGAGGGCGACCGGCCACAUUGGGACUGAGAUACGGCCCAAACUCCUACGGGAGGCAGCAGUGGGGAAUAUUGCACAAUGGACGGAAGUCUGAUGCAGCAACGCCGCGUGCGGGAUGACGGCCUUCGGGUUGUAAACCGCUUUCAAUUGUGACGAAGCUUUUUUGUGACGGUAGCAGUAGAAGAAGCACCGGCUAACUACGUG